rnacentral:rRNA from 1 species
GUGCCAGCAGCCGCGGUAAUACAGAGGGGGCGAGCGUUAUUCGGAAUCAUUGGGCGUAAAGGGCGCGUAGGCGGCUGCGCAAGUCUCGGGUGAAAUCCCUCGGCUCAACCGAGGAACUGCCCUGGAAACUGCGCGGCUCGAGGCCGGGAGAGGAUGGUGGAAUUCCCAGUGUAGCGGUGAAAUGCGUAGAUAUUGGGAGGAACACCGGUGGCGAAGGCGGCCAUCUGGACCGGUCCUGACGCUGAGGCGCGAAAGCGUGGGGAGCAAACAGGAUUAGAAACCCCCGUAGUCC